UGGCUCAGAAGUUAAAGCAUUUACCUGCAACGUAGGAGACCCAGGUUCAAUACCUGG
rnacentral:tRNA from 1 species